AGUGAACGCUGGCGGUAGGCCUAACACAUGCAAGUCGAACGGCAGCACAGUAAGAGCUUGCUCUUACGGGAGGCGAGUGGCGGACGGGUGAGGAAUACAUCGGAAUCUACUUUUUCGGGGGGGAUAACGUAGGGAAACUUACGCUAAUACCGCAUACGACCUACGGGUGAAAGCAGGGGAUCUUCGGACCUUGCGCGAUUGAAUGAGCGGAUGUCGGAUUAGCUAGUUGGCGGGGUAAAGGCCCACCACGGCGACGAUCCGUAGCUGGUCUGAGAGGAUGAUCAGCCACACUGGAACUGAGACACGGUCCAGACUCCUACGGGAGGCAGCAGUGGGGAAUAUUGGACAAUGGGCGCAAGCCUGAUCCAGCCAUACCGCGUGGGUGAAGAAGGCCUUCGGGUUGUAAAGCCCUUUUGUUGGGAAAGAAAAGCAGCAGGUUAAUACCCCGCUGUUCUGACGUUACCCAAAUAAUAAGCACCGGCUAACUUCGUG
rnacentral:rRNA from 1 species